GGCUUUUUGAUAUAUUGGAUAAAAAGUUGGACCUGCCCGGUGAGUUUUUUUAACGGCUGCGUUUUCGUACUAAGGUAGCAUAAUAAGUUGCCCUUUAAUUGGGGGAUGGAAUGAAUGGUUUGACGUUGGAAAAGCUGUCUUUUUACUUUAUUAAGAAGUUUACUUUUAAGUGAAAAGGCUUAAAUAUUUUUAAAAGACGAGAAGACCCCAUCGAGCUUGAUUAUAAGAAGUCAUAUUGAUUUUUUUGAAGUUUUAUUGGGGCAAUAAAAAAUGAAGAAAAUCAUUUUUUUUAGGUAAAGAUCCAGUUUGAUUGAAUUGAGCAAAAGCUACCGUGGGGAUAACAGGGUAAUUUUUUCUGAAAGUGCGUAUAAAAGGAAAAGUUUGCUACCUCGAUGUUGGAUUAAGGGAUCUUUUUGCUUGCAGCAGGUAUAUAAGAAGGACUGUUCGUCUUUUAAAACCUUACA
rnacentral:rRNA from 1 species